rnacentral:lncRNA from 1 species
GAGAUGAGGCAGCUGUCCGAGGUGGGUGAUGUGUGCUCAGACCUCCAGGAACCGGCGAACGAGGCCUCAUGGAAAGAACAUGAGGUGGCGGUGGAGGGGAACAAGAGUGGGGAAAUCCCUCUAGGCGGCCUCCUGCACCCCCAGGCUCUGGAGACGGCUUUCACUGGACGCUGGAAUAUCAGAUGGGGUGAAGACAGAAAAUGCUGUGCUGGCCUGCCCUCCCACAAACAGUCCAGUUUCACGGGCUGAAGAGGAGACAAAGCAAAUCCGUGGGAUGCCGAGGGCACUUGGAUAACUUCCGCUCUGGAGAGAAGCCCAAACUCCGCGUCCCGGAGACCUGAAGUGUGGCCGCCAGUGGACACCCAGCUGAGGGAUGAGCAGCAAUGAAUGAGAGUUCCUAUUGCUCCACGUCCUCACCGCAUUUGCUGCUAUCUGUGCCCUGGAUUUGGGCCAUUCUGAUAGGUGUGUGGUAUCCAGUAGGUGUGUCUCGUUGUUUUAAUUUGCAUUUCUCUGAUGACAUAUGAUGUGGAUUAUCUUUUCAUCUGCUCAUUUGCCGUCUAUAUAUCUUCUCUGAGGC